UACGUAGGUGGCAAGCGUUAUCCGGAUUUAUUGGGCGUAAAGAGAACGCAGGCGGUCUUUUAAGUCUGAUGUGAAAGCCUUCGGCUUAACCGGAGUAGUGCAUUGGAAACUGGGAGACUUGAGUGCAGAAGAGGAGAGUGGAACUCCACGUGUAGCGGUGAAAUGCGUAGAUAUAUGGAAGAACACCAGUGGCGAAAGCGGCUCUCUGGUCUGUAACUGACGCUGAGGUUCGAAAGCGUGGGUAGCAAACAGG
rnacentral:rRNA from 1 species